UAGAGGUGCGUGCGUGUGUGUUCCUGCGAGCAUAUAGAUUACGUCUCUCUCUCUCCCUCCCUCUCUCUCUUUUGCUUGGUGAAGAAGAGGGGUCUUGUAAUUGAUUUGUUCCUACCGAAUCGAAAGCAAAGUUUUGAUCUUUUGUCGUCCGUUGGUUCUGUUUGCAACCCUAAACUCUCCCGACACACGUUUGUUUUGGAUCUAUUCGCUUGUUUUUGUAAUAAUGCGACCGUUUAUGUCUGGCACGAGAGCUUUGUUCAGCCUAAUAUCAUGUCGAAACGCAAUCAGGAGUCGUGGCGGGAUCGGUGAGAGGAGUUUUAAAUCGAAUCGAAUUGGGUCUCUUUCGGGGGUAGUAGAGAGAUGCUCAUCACACGGGUCCAUGUCCAAUGAAGACGAUGCUAGAAGAUUCUCUCUCGGGACAGGGAGGUUAAUUCAGAGACGGCAUUUUCUGGGUUGCGGAGAUGGGGAGGAAGGCGGUGGUGGUGAGUUAUCCAAGAUCUACGAAGAGCGUCGUGUCUUGGGGUAUUCUCAGGAGCAAUUGUUUAAUGUAGUUCUAGCUGUAGACUUGUACCACGGCUUUGUUCCUUGGUGUCAACGCUCAGAGGUUCUUAAACAAUAUCCUGAUGGCUCUUUUGACGCUGAACUGGAGAUUGGUUUCAAGUUUCUCGUUGAGAGUUACAUCUCCCAUGUUGAAUUCGAGAGACCCAAAUGGAUUAAGACAACAGCGAGGGACACCGGCCUGUUUGACCAUUUAAUCAACCUCUGGCAAUUUAAGCCAGGUCCCAUUCCAGGAACCUGCGAGCUUUCUAUCCUUGUCGAUUUCAAAUUCAACUCUCCUCUCUAUCGCCAGGUGGCUUCGAUGUUCUUAAAGGAGGUAGCAACAAGACUCAUCGGGGCAUUUAGUGACCGAUGCCGACUUGUGUAUGGUCCUGGAGUUCCAGUCGAUGAAAACUCAUGAACAAAAAGCUUGAUACAACAUAUAUAUUAUUAUAUAAUGGAACUAACAAUAUCAGGAAUAAGCUUUCAAAAGCUAAAAAAAUGAAGUAGAGAGGAAUUCAAUUAGAUGGAAAUUGAACACUAUAAAACGAAAUCAAAGAUGUUAAAGUCCAGUCAUAACCAUUGAACUCAAUGGUUUCUUUAGUCCGGUGUGUUAGUCUUUAAGAUAUGUUUUUUUCCCUUAAAACCAAUGUUCCGUUUGAUUGUAUGUGGUUAAAAUAAAGUCUUUUAAAAGAUAUAGAAACACAGCUUACAUAUUUGGAAGAGAUUGAUAUUUCGAAUGGCAUAAGUUAUGUGCCCCA